rnacentral:tRNA from 1 species
GGAGAUGUAGUUCAAUGGUAGAAGGCUUGCUUAGAAUGCGAGGCCCUGGGUUCAAUCCCCAGCACUGCCA